CAAGUCGAACGGUGAAGCCCAGCUUGCUGGGUGGAUCAGUGGCGAACGGGUGAGUAACACGUGAGCAACCUGCCCCGGACUCUGGGAUAAGCGCUGGAAACGGCGUCUAAUACUGGAUAUGAGACGUGAUCGCAUGGUCAACGUCUGGAAAGAUUUUUCGGUCUGGGAUGGGCUCGCGGCCUAUCAGCUUGUUGGUGAGGUAAUGGCUCACCAAGGCGUCGACGGGUAGCCGGCCUGAGAGGGUGACCGGCCACACUGGGACUGAGACACGGCCCAGACUCCUACGGGAGGCAGCAGUGGGGAAUAUUGCACAAUGGGCGGAAGCCUGAUGCAGCAACGCCGCGUGAGGGACGACGGCCUUCGGGUUGUAAACCUCUUUUAGCAAGGAAGAAGCGAAAGUGACGGUACUUGCAGAAAAAGCGCCGGCUAACUACGUGCCAGCAGCCGCGGUAAUACGUAGGGCGCAAGCGUUAUCCGGAAUUAUUGGGCGUAAAGAGCUCGUAGGCGGUUUGUCGCGUCUGCUGUGAAAUCCCGAGGCUCAACCUCGGGUCUGCAGUGGGUACGGGCAGACUAGAGUGCGGUAGGGGAGAUUGGAAUUCCUGGUGUAGCGGUGGAAUGCGCAGAUAUCAGGAGGAACACCGAUGGCGAAGGCAGAUCUCUGGGCCGUAACUGACGCUGAGGAGCGAAAGGGUGGGGAGCAAACAGGCUUAGAUACCCUGGUAGUCCACCCCGUAAACGUUGGGAACUAGUUGUGGGGUCCUUUCCACGGAUUCCGUGACGCAGCUAACGCAUUAAGUUCCCCGCCU
rnacentral:rRNA from 1 species